ensembl:lncRNA
GGGCCAUGCUGCGGUAGUCAGCCAUUUUUGGAACACGUGAUCCACCACGCACAGCUUUGUCAUUAACUUGCAAUGAAGCUAUCCAGCUGCUGAUAAAUUUCCAUUUUCACACUGUUAUUCUGUGCUUAAUUGGGCACAGAGUAAUAUUCAAUUUAUUCCUCCUAACAUUUGCCAAGGUUACAUUUGCAGCCUGAACUGUUAUCAGUCCAUACCCUUUUAUACCUUCAAAGGCUAUUCUCUUUUUUUUUAACCUGAACUUUUUAUUUUUUAUUGGGGUAUGGCCAUGAAUUUGAGCAAACUCCAGGAGAUAGUGGAGAACAGAGGAGCCUGAGGGGCUAUAGUCCAUGGGGUCACAAAGAGUCCGACACAACUUGGUGACUGAACAAAACAGUAGCUGAUUUACAAUAUUGUGAUGGUUUCAGGUAAUUAAGCCCAAUGACAAAAGCAUCUCCAGGAGGAAGGUGUGACUGAAGCUGCUACUGUUUGAUUGACAUUCAAGACCAUCCUGUCUGCCCAGGGCAGUUCCCAGCCUCUGAAGAAUCAGGUUGACUUUCCUGAUUUCCCUGCCGCAGGGGUGUAACCUGUUUUUCUUUGAACCUCUGGAACUCUUCACCUGCUGCCACUUGGGACUCUCACCUGGUCUACCUGGGCUCAUAGUCCUGUUGCUGCUGCUGCUGCUGCUGCUGCUAAGUCGCUUCAGUCGUGUCCGACUCUGUGCAACCCCACGGACGGCAGCCCACCAGGCUCCCCCGUCCCUGGGAUUCUCCAGGUCUGUCUUCCCACCAGGAAAAGGACCAGGAAGAGGAGUUCCAGGCCUUUCAAGGAAGAUAGUCGACAAUGUCCAAGUCAAGGUGGGACGAGAUCUUCCAAUGCAGAGAUUGCACACAACACAGGAGAUACUGAAUAGCAGUGGAGUGAAGGAUUGAAGCGUGUGGGAAUGCAGAGCUGGUCCCUGAGCUGGAAGGAUUCACACUGAAAGGUUGGGCCUCUAGGGACGUAACUAAGAAAGUGACACUCAUAGAAUCAUGAGACAUGGUUACGGCCAGAGGAAAACACUAUCCAAGUUUUAUUUAGAAGCCUAGCUUGGGAGGAAUAUCUUUUUUGGCUUUUAUAUUGACUUUCUGAACAGCAGGCCCUAUUUUAUGCUCUACGUUGGAAGUGAAAUUUUUCCUAUAUCUGUAACAAGAUCUGUAACAAGAUCUGUAACAAGAUCACCAAGCUGCUGUGAUCAGUAAGAAAUAAAAGGGCCUCUAUC